rnacentral:lncRNA from 1 species
UAUUAUUUGAAUGUAGUUGUAUAAUAUCAAGCAAGAACAGAUUAACAGAAGAGACAAGGGACCACACGACCCACGGGCCCGUCAUGGAUGUAAAGGAUACAGUUUAUGUAAAGAGAACCCAUUUUCUAGUUCAGCCCCGGGGCCAACUGCAGUAUACUUAAUCCGGAUUUAGAACGCUAUUUUGAAUGACGGAAACAAUAUAAUAGGCAGGUCAGUAAACUAUUAUUUUAGUAUAAAAAAAAUACUAUUGUAUACCACGGUCUUAGAAGAUAAGGUCGGAACACCUGGGCUUGUCAAACGCGAUCGUUUAAAGAGACAGUUUUAGUAAAUUUUUAGGUUGAAAAAUCAUAAUUAUAAUUAAUUUAAAUAAAUAAUCGUGUUAUUACAAAUAUAAAGCAUAAAAAAUCAUUAAAUUUAAAAAAAAAAAAUGUAUACUCUGUACAAUAUUAGGCAUUUUAAUAAUUUCAACUUAAGACGAUCUUUGAAUCAAUGAUAAGAAAAAUUAAUUAAAAACUGAUUAAGCCUUUCAUAAGCGAGAACAAAAUAAACACAUAGGAGAUAGCCAGUGCUCACGAAUUUAUCUUCUAAGACAGUAAGACCAUUUUGUAUUAAAUCAAAAAACCAUUCUAAUUCCCUAUGGAUUAGAGUAUAAAAAAUUCAAACUUCCACUUUCCUUACCCUAUAAUUUCUUUUUCAUUUAUUUUAUUCAGUUAUACCUAAAUCUUGAAAGAAACGAAAUCAUCUUUUGAUAUCUAGUUAUCAUAGUUUUUAACAAGAUAUUUAGUAGUUGAAACUUUUGAACAUUUUACAGACCUACACAAAAUAAUAAUAAUGGUAAUAAUAACCGAAAAAAAACAAAUUGUGAAAAAACUAAUAAAUUUACUUUCUAUAUUAAUUGCUCACUUAAAGAGUUUGAGAAUAUUUGGUAGACAUUUUAAAGAGCGCGUAUAAAAUAAAUUAUUGUUAUUUUUAUAAAAUAUAUAGCAAAAUUUAACCGUUCUGAGGGUUAUUUUAUCGAUUCCGAAAUUUAAUGCAUUAUUCAGGGUUGGCACGUGGUCAUAAACAUGCAAUUUACAAAAAAAAAAACUUUAAAUCAGGGUUCGUUGAAGAGUUUUCCAUUAGGUAUUCGAUCUUUUUUUAUAUAUAUAACCGUCAAAUGAAUAUUUUAAUUUAGCUCUAAAAACUAUAUAAAUCGGACUAAAGUUACUGAUGUAAUUUAAGUAUAUGUAAAUCAAACUAAGCCAUCAUGAAUUUUAAAAAAUAUAAAUACUUAAAAACCUCAAAAUUUAUAUGGAUAUUUUAUUUUUUUUUUUUUAUAUUAUACGAGCUGUAUAACAUCUUAUAAUUUCACAAAUAAAAUUUUUCAUACUUUCUUAAGUAUACAGUUACAAUUGUUAAAACCAGUAUUUUUGUGCUUGUAGCGUAUAUGUUUUAUUUAGAAUAGAAAAGUUUCCCUGUGCAUGCUGCACAGUUUUAAAGCAAUUACAAUCCAGGUAUUAUAGGUAGAUGAAAGUGCAUUCCCGAUGACCGCUAAAAUUCUUGGAAGGUUAAGAAGUCAAAAACUGAGAAAUAAUUAAAAUAUUCAAUUAAUUUCAAUAUAUUAUAGAUGCAUAAUAUAUUGUUCUAAACUAACACAAGCCAAGACAAAAGUGGACGGACAGAUUAUAACAAGAUUAAACAAGAUCGCAGGGAAUUUGGAAUGUGGAAGAAGCUGCUAAUAAUGGGGAAUAGUGGAAGCAGUGCAGACCCUUAAGUACCUGUUACUCAGCAACCAACAACAACAUAUUUAUCAUAAGUUUAAAUGAAUAGAUGAUAGCUUGUUGGCUAGUAUAAUAUAAAAUAUUUUGUUUGUUAUGGUAUCCAAGACAGAAAUACAAAAUAAAACGAUAU